rnacentral:rRNA from 1 species
AUUGAACGCUGGCGGCAGGCCUAACACAUGCAAGUCGAGCGAGCGGCGGACGGGUGAGUAAUGUAUGGGGAUCUGCCCGAUGGAGGGGGAUAACUACUGGAAACGGUGGCUAAUACCGCAUACUAUCGGAUGAACCCAUAUGGGAUUAGCUUGUAGGUGGGGUAACGGCUCACCUAGGCGACGAUCCCUAGCUGGUCUGAGAGGAUGACCAGCCACACUGGGACUGAGACACGGCCCAGACUCCUACGGGAGGCAGCAGUGGGGAAUAUUGCACAAUGGGCGCAAGCCUGAUGCAGCCAUGCCGCGUGUAUGAAGAAGGCCUUCGGAUUGUAAAGCACUUUCAGUGGGGAGGCGUUACCCGCAGAAGAAGCACCGGCUAACUCCGUGCCAGCAGCCGCGGUAAUUC